GGUUUGUCUUCCUCAGCAAGAAGAGGGUAGAAGUCCAGCCACCACUGCAAAGAUGAUGGACUGUCAAUAUUGACAUCACCAUCUUCUUCAUUUACAUGCACUGUUACUCCUAAAGGUACUCUUCCAGGGGGAUAUAAUGCCCACCUUUUACGGCCAUAUAAAAGUGUAUUCCAAGCACUAGUUAGGGAUGGAUCAACAUGCCAAGAGGCACCAGACCUCUCUGGUCCCAUAAUGAGCCAUCUGAAGGAAGGUCGCUGGUCCAUGUCCAGCACAUCAAAGAAGUCCUCUUUGAACAUAUUUGGAACAGUGUACUCCUUCAACAACUCUGGUGCAGCUUCCCCAAACUUCUCGUCAAAAAUGUAAAGAGGAUCCUCGUCAUGCUGAACUUUCAUAUAUGCCACAUAGUCCUUCAGUUUCAUCCUAAUUUUGUGACGACUUCUUUGAGAUAAUUUAAAUGCUGUAUCUCCAUAAUUUUUUAAAAGCUCCUCCGUUGUCCAUGUAGUCCUACUUAAACCUCCUCCAUUUCUUCUUCCUUUCAACCUCCUUCAUCAAUUCCUAUUCCUUCUCCAAAUUCUCAACCAUGAAGUUCCCCAAAAACUUCUUCAAGUCCAAAAAAUCCAGAUCCCUUUCCCGAUCCGAUGAUCCAUCUUACUCAUCUUCCUCCUCCUCCUCCAACAAAGGCGGUAGCGUCGGAGGAAUUUCUACUCCUACGAGCGUGUUACCUACUUUAUCCAACGAGAUCUCAGCUGAUGAGUGGUCCGACAUCUCUACCGCCGGAGUUUACUCCGAUCUCGUUCAAGCGUUUUCCGUUAUCGAUAACGGAGACGGUAAGAUUAAGAAGGAGAAACUCGAAGCGAUUUUAAGCAGAGUUGGAGGUAAAUCUCCACCGAGUGAAGAGGAACUUGUGUUGUUGCUUGAUGAAUUGGAUAAGAACGGAGAUGGAUGUAUUAGUUUAGAGAAUUUUGAAACUAUUACCUCGGCGUUUGAGUCGACAUCGACGUCGGCAGCGGGAGAUGCAGGUGAGAUGAGAGAUGCGUUUGAUUUCUUCGAUGAGGAUCACGACGGGAAAAUCACCGGUGAGGAAUUGUUUAACGUGUUUAGAAUGAUCGGCGAUGAACGGUGCACGUUAGAGGAAUGUAAGCGUAUGAUAACAAGUGUAGAUAAAAAUGGAGAUGGAUUCGUCUGCUUCGACGAUUUCUGUCUUAUGAUGGAACAGCAGAGAUAAUCGUUGGAUCAAAAUUUUUGCUUGUGAUUCCUGAAAAAAAAUAAGUCUUUUUAUUUUAUUUUUGGGGAAAAAAUGAUGUGAUUAUUUAAUAACUUGGAUUAAUUAGAAGAAUGAUCAUGCCAAUAUUGUGUAUAACAAAUUUAUGGACUCAGA
rnacentral:misc_RNA from 1 species